rnacentral:ncRNA from 2 species
GGUCAAGAGUGCCAGCGUCAAACCCCGGUUUGCUGGCCGGCAACCCUCCAGUUCGCGGUGGGGUGCCCCGGGUGACGACCAGGCCCUGCCGCCCAUGCGGUGGGGCAAGCGCGGGCC